rnacentral:rRNA from 1 species
ACCCACGACAAAUCUUACCACUUCUUGCAUAUUCUAGUUCAGAGUUAAUGUGAAGAUAAUUUUAUUUAUAAAUACUUAUACUAGUAUUAUGAAUGGAUUUUAAAUUCCCUUAACUACACUUGAAUACAGGUGUUGCAUGGCUGUUUUUAGUUCGUGUUGUGAAAUGUUAGGUUCAUUCCGUGAACGAACGUAAUCCUUAUCUUUAAUUACAAUGACAUUCAGAAUGAAUAAAAUUCAAUUGGAAUUUAUUGGAAUUCCGAAUGAAUAUUUAAUAAAACUCAUUCUGGAUUAUUGAAACGCUUCAUGAAUGAAGCAUUCAUAUUAACUUAAUUAAAGAAGUAUCUUUUGAUAAGAAAGAAUAAUUAGGCCGAAGACAAGUCCUCAUGACCCUUAUGGAGUGGGCUACAGACGUGCCACAAAGAUUUCUACAAAGGGAAGCAAAGAUGGAAGUCCGAGCAAAUCCUCAAAAGAA